UACGUAGGUGGCAAGCGUUGUCCGGAAUUAUUGGGCGUAAAGAGCGCGUAGGCGGGAUACUAAGUCUGUUGUAAAAGUGCGGGGCUCAACCCCGUAAGGUCAAUGAAAACUGGUAUACUUGAGUGCAGGAGAGGAAAGUGGAAUUCCCAGUGUAGCGGUGAAAUGCGUAGAUAUUGGGAGGAACACCAGUGGCGAAGGCGACUUUCUGGACUGUGUCUGACGCUGAGGCGCAAAAGCCAGGGGAGCGAAC
rnacentral:rRNA from 1 species